ACGGUAACAGGACUUCGGUCGCUGACGAGUGGCGCACGGGUGAGUAACGCGUGGGUUACCUGCCCAUAAGUGGGGAACAACUUGGAGAAAUCCAAGCUAAUACCGCAUAAUACUUUCGGGUUAAAGAGGGGGAUCUUCGGACCUCUCGCUUAUGGAUGGUCCCGCGUCUGAUUAGCUAGUUGGUAGGGUAAUGGCCUACCAAGGCAAUGAUCAGUAGCUGGUCUGAGAGGAUGAUCAGUCACACUGGAACUGAGACACGGUCCAGACUCCUACGGGAGGCAGCAGUGGGGAAUUUUGCACAAUGGGCGAAAGCCUGAUGCAGCGACGCCGCGUGCGGGAAGAAGGCCUUCGGGUUGUAAACCGCUUUCAACAGGGAAGAAGGAAUGAGAGCUAAUACCUCUCUGCCUUGACGGUACCUGUAGAAGAAGCACCGGCUAAUUUCGUGCCAGCAGCCGCGGUAAUACGAAAGGUGCAAGCGUUGUUCGGAUUUACUGGGCGUAAAGAGAUCGUAGGUGGCUUGUUAAGUCGGAUGUGAAAUCCCGGGGCUCAACCCCGGAACUGCAUCCGAUACUGGCAGGCUUGAGUUUGGGAGGGGUAAGCGGAAUUCCGUGUGUAGCAGUGAAAUGCGUAGAUAUACGGAGGAACACCUGAGGCGAAAGCGGCUUACUGGACCAAUACUGACACUGAUGAUCGAAAGCGUGGGUAGCAAACAGGAUUAGAUACCCUGGUAGUCCACGCCCUAACGAUGUCAACUAGCCGUUGCGGGUAUCGACCCCUGCAGUGCGCAGCUA
rnacentral:rRNA from 1 species